AGGGAAAUAGCUCAGUGGUAGAGCGCAUGCUUAGCAUGCACAAGGUCCUGGGUUCAACCCCCAGUACCUCCA
rnacentral:tRNA from 1 species